UACGGAGGGUGCAAGCGUUGUUCGGAAUUAUUGGGCGUAAAGGGUGCGUAGGCGGUUUGGUAAGUCUGAUGUGAAAUCUAUGGGCUCAACUCAUAGUCUGCAUCGGAAACUGCCGGGCUUGAGUGUGGGAGAGGUGGAGUGGAAUUCCUGGUGUAGCGGUGAAAUGCGUAGAUAUCAGGAGGAACACCUGUGGCGAAAGCGGCUCACUGGACCAUAACUGACGCUGAUGCACGAAAGCUAGGGGAGCAAACAGG
rnacentral:rRNA from 1 species